rnacentral:rRNA from 1 species
GACGAACGCUGGCGGCGUGCUUAACACAUGCAAGUCGAACGGAAAGGCCCUGCUUGCAGGGUACUCGAGUGGCGAACGGGUGAGUAACACGUGGGUGAUCUGCCCUGCACUUCGGGAUAAGCCUGGGAAACUGGGUCUAUUACCGGAUAGGAGCCAUUUUUAGUGUGAUGGUUGGAAAGUUUUUUCGGUGUAGGAUGAGCUCGCGGCCUAUCAGCUUGUUGGUGGGGUAAUGGCCUACCAAGGCGGCGACGGGUAGCCGGCCUGAGAGGGUGGACGGCCACAUUGGGACUGAGAUACGGCCCAGACUCCUACGGGAGGCAGCAGUGGGGAAGAUUGCACAAUGGGCGCAAGCCUGAUGCAGCGACGCCGCGUGGGGGAUGACGGCCUUCGGGUUGUAAACUCCGUUCGCUAGGGACGAAGCUUUUUGUGACGGUACCUAGAUAAGAAGCACCGGCUAACUACGUG